UAAAAUAAAAAUUAACUAAAACGACAAUUGAAGUGUUUUUACUAUUUUGGCAAAUCGGGCUGGUGUGUUCCUGAAGUUUGUAUAAAACUUUCAUUACAUAAAUUCCAUAUCGUUUAAUAUAGAUUUUAAAGAAGAAAAUUUUAGUAAAAAAUUAAGCUCCAUAAAAGUUACAGGCAUGACAGAGGAAUCUGGUAUCGCUAUUUUAUCGGCACAUUGUUUCUUGGUUGUUAAAAACUACUUUCAAGAACCAUUGGAAUCGUCAUUUGGUUUAGGAACGGAAGAAGUUCAACAUUUCUGGUCGCUACAACUUAGAGGCAAGCUUCCCAAAGCAACAAAGAAACAAUUUGCCUGUGGAUAGAAUUGAUGUUUUUAACAUGUUAAAAAUUAAUUCCACCCAACUUCAAGAAUUGUCUUCAAGAGUUGAUAAUGUGGAAGGGAAGAUGGAUUUGAAAGAAAAAAUAAGUUUAUAUCAAUACAAGUUUUUAUUGUUCUAUAUGUAUCCAUCAAUACAAAGAGAACGUAUUGUUUAGAUAUUGUUCUUUAAGCAUUAUUAAGGAAUUCUCUAAUUGCACUUGUUCUCUUUUGAGAUAAUUUAAAAAAGUGAAGAAAUGGCCCAACAAAAACCCGUCCCCGAAUGUAAGCUGCUAAUUCAAAAAGUUCACCAAUCAGUAUGCCGACUGACUGACGAAAAAAUCGACAACACA
rnacentral:lncRNA from 1 species